UAAUGAAUUCAUCUGGGAGCUCAACGAUGACACUCCUGAAGGGCACUUGCCAUUGACAAAUGCUCUUAGAGGGACACAGCUUCUCAAUAGCAUUCUUAACCAUCCCGCCUUUGAUGAUAUCAAGGAAGAAGAUGAGGUUGGUGAUGGAGGAAAUGAAAAUGAAGGACCUGAUAAGAGAUUGAAUGAUAAGGAUAAUUCAAAGCCCUUGAACAAGGGAUUGUUUAAACCAAAUUAUAGUUUUUGACUGAAUUAUCAUAUUUGAUAAUUCAAGCACAUACCCAUUACAGGAAGCAAAAAAUUCGAAUCUGGGUUUUAGUAUGUGCAAUGAAAAUGGUGUUUUGAUUGUAUCUUUUUACUUUCUACUUUCUCUAUGUUUUUUAGCUGAUAUAUCCUUUUCAUCCUUUUCUUUUUUCUUUGUUUCCUUUGGACUUCUAUGGAGGAGGGCUUAGUGGAGUACAAAUGCCAAAUGGGUACUAUGAAAAAUUAAAAUUAUUUUUUUUUGGAACAAUAAAAAUAUUAAAUUGAUGAUUGAUAAUUUGAUGUGAUUAGAGGAGAAAACUAUUUUCUUUGCAAAAUGAUAUGCUUUAUUGCUUUAUAGGGAGACAGGACAAAUCAUAGCCUCCCCUUUUGUACCUUUGCUCUGAUUGCUUCCUGGGUGAUAUUUGAAAUGCU
rnacentral:misc_RNA from 1 species